GGCGGUGGGUUGUAAUUCCAUUUAUGGGUUAGUCCCUCUUUACA
rnacentral:tRNA from 1 species